GGGGCAGGGCGGGCUUCCUGCGCAUAGGUCUACGGUGACGGUCUUGACGUCAAGUCGGGGCAGAAAUUAAAAUCUCGUAUUUGAGUGCGCAUGCACGUGGGUUGGUUUACGAACCCAGGGGUAAACAAACGCUUCACUUUUAAAUAUCGGCUUCCCGUCCAGUGUAUAAUCGUUAGGCAAUCAUAACAUACAUUGAUUCUCGUGGAAAAGUGAAAAUUACAGGUCAUGACUCCUUUAAGGGAACCGAACAGAGCAUAGACAGGACCUCAGUGAUGCAUUGAUGUGGAUGGGUCUGCAUCAAAAACAUUUUUUGGCCACAUAAAGUCUGAUCAAAAAAGCACUUUACCUGUAGAGUGUGUAUCACAACUGGGAGAGUGCUAAGCAUUGUCUGCAGGUAAUACACUGACUAGACGCAAGAACCUCAACCUCACUUUGAAAAUACUGUAGUAUCUCUUUUUGAGUCCCAGAAUGAAAUGUUUAAUUAUUAUAUAUUAUUGUAGGAAGAGGAGUGUUUGCCACACACCCCAUUGAACCCGGGGACUUCGUGUUGGAGUACAGGGGUAAACUCCUCACACAGGAGGAAUGCAAGUCAAGAAAAUACUCAGAGAUUGAAAGCACAUUUCUCUUUGACUUUCAGUGGCAGAAUCAUCACUUAUGCCUGGAUGCAUCUGAAGAAGAUGGAUCUCUCGGAAGAUUGGUCAAUGACAACCACAAAAAUCCAAAUUGCGUUAUGAAAUAAAUCAUAGUUGACGACAAACCACAUUUGUGCCUUUUUUCUCUGAAGAAAAUAGAAAUAGGAGAUGAAAUUGAUUACAACUAUGGUGAUUCAAAAUGGCCUUGGCGCAGUAAGUUGAAAAAAACCCAAGCUCCAGCCGCAGCAGUAGAGAAUGAGACCAGCCCUGUUCCUCAGAUGCUAAAUGAUGGACCAAACCCAGAUCAGACCUGCACAAAGGUAAAAGUACAUUCAAACACAUUCAUCUAUGCUGACAUGUCUGUGGUGGUGUUCUAUUACUAAAGUGGACCAAUGCUUUUGUGGCUUUAUAUUGGCUGUUAAAGGCCAGAUAAUGUCACACACACCGGUAUGUUUCCAGUCAUGUUCUUAUGGGGUCCUUCCAUCUUCCAAACACAUUUGUUUCUCUAGUCUCUCCUUUACACACUCAUAUGUCUGUAGUCUGACCCAUGUGGGGCCCUUCCGUCCAGUUCUUACUGUAAUUGUUUUUAAUGCACUAUGGCAACACCUGACAUGACCUCAACUGUGAUUUUAACAUUCGUAAUUGUAUACUGUGUCUGAGCUGU